UAGCAUUCUUAAACCCCUUGGUGGCUCAGCUGUGCUUCAAAGAUAUGAGCGAAUGCUGCAGAAAUAGCAGGGAGAUCCAAAGGGCUGCGCAGGGCCUGUGGCUCAGCCUUAUUUCAUACUUGCCACAUCU
ensembl:snoRNA small nucleolar RNA SNORA14